GGGGUACUUGAGUGUAGGCUUUGCCUGCUAUCUCUUACCCAUGUCUUUUGAGUACCUUACGUUUCCUCGGCGGGUCCGCCCGCCGAUUGGACAAUUUAAACCAUUUGCAGUUGCAAUCAGCGUCUGAAAAAACUUAAUAGUUACAACUUUCAACAACGGAUCUCUUGGUUCUGGCAUCGAUGAAGAACGCAGCGAAAUGCGAUAAGUAGUGUGAAUUGCAGAAUUCAGUGAAUCAUCGAAUCUUUGAACGCACAUUGCGCCCCUUGGUAUUCCAUGGGGCAUGCCUGUUCGAGCGUCAUUUGUACCUUCAAGCUCUGCUUGGUGUUGGGUGUUUGUCUCGCCUCUGCGUGUAGACUCGCCUCAAAACAAUUGGCAGCCGGCGUAUUGAUUUCGGAGCGCAGUACAUCUCGCGCUUUGCACUCAUAACGACGACGUCCAAAAGUACAUUUUUACACUCUUGACCUCGGAUCAGGUAGGGAUACCCGCUGAACUUAAGCAUAUCAAUAAGUCGGAGGAA
rnacentral:rRNA from 1 species